AGGUCACUGCUAUUGGGAUCCGACUAAGCCAUGCGAGUCGAGAGGGUUCGGCCCUCGGCAGACUGCUCAGUAACACGUGGACAAUCUGCCCUUAGGUGGAGGAUAAUCUCGGGAAACUGAGGAUAAUACUCCAUAGGUCUAGGAUGCUGGAAUGCACCUAGGCUUAAAACUCCGGUGCCUAAGGAUGAGUCUGCGGACUAUCAGGUAGUAGUCAGGGUAAUGACCUGACUAGCCUACGACGGAUACGGGUUGUGAGAGCAAUAACCCGGAGACGAUAUCUGAGACACGAUAUCGGGCCCUACGGGGCGCAGCAGGCGCGAAACCUUCACACUGUGCGAAAGCGCGAUGAGGGGAUCCCAAGUGCUUGCUCUUAGGAGUAAGCUGUUUCUCUGUUUAAAACGCAGGGAGAGGAAGGGCUGGGUAAGACGGGUGCCAGCCGCCGCGGUAAUACCUGCAGCUCAAGUGGUGACCGCUAUUAUUGGGCCUAAAACGUUCGUAGCCGGCUGAGUAAAUGCCUGGGUAAAUCGUGCCGCUUAACGGUACGAAUUCCGGGUAGACUGCUUAGCUUGAGACCGGGAGAAGCUAGAGGUACUCCUGGGGUAGGGGUGAAAUCCUGUAAUCCCUGUGGGACCACCAGUGGCGAAGGCGUCUUACCAGAACGGGUCUGACGGUGAGGAACGAAACCCUGGGGCGCAAACCGGAUUAGAUACCCGGGUAGUCCCAGCCGUAAACGAUGUUCGCUAGGUGUCUGGAAUGGUGCGACCGCUUUCAGUGCCGCAGAGAAGCCGUGAAGCGAACCACCUGGGAAGUACGGCCGCAAGGCUGAAACUUAAAGGAAUUGGCGGGGGAGCACCACAACAAGUGGAGCCUGCGGUUUAAUUGGAUUCAACGCCGGAA
rnacentral:rRNA from 1 species